rnacentral:pre_miRNA from 1 species
CAUUUGAUGAUCAUUUGACAAACAUUCCAGGAAAGGCAUUAAUAUAUUGGGAUAAUGUUUAAUAUUAAUUCUUUCCUGGAAUAUUUGUCAACUUUUCAAUAAAAAAC